GGAAAGAAGGAAGGAAGGAAAGAAGGAAGGAAAGCAAAUAGAAGAGAAACUGAAGGGACCAAAGAGAUGGGGAGAAGUGAGGUGAUGGUAAGGGAAAGAAUAUACUUAAUGUAAAAACUGUACAAAAAUGUUUUUAUGCAACAUAGUAUCAUGCACAAUGAAUAUAUACAAUGAAAAAAUUUAAAAACUAGAGGGAAACAUUUAUUUUCAUUUUGUGUUAUUCCUUCCAAUGUUCAGAUACAAAGGUUGAGUAAAAUCUUUACUCAAAAGUACAAAGAGUCACAUGGUAGCACAUGCCUGUAAUUCAAGUCCUCAAAAGAUGGAGGCAGAUGGAUUGACACAAGCCUGAGACAGAGACACUUGCUCAGCUGUUCAGAAGGAAGGGAACACUCUGGAAGUCGAGAGGCAGAAUCAGAUCGGGCAGGAGGACGCGGGCUAGGCACAGCCCCUCCCACAGUGCUGUGUCAGGAUUCUCCAAAGUAAUAGAACCAACAAAAAGAAAGAACAGAAGAGGGGGAAGGAGAGGACCAGGAGAAAGAGGCGGAGGAGAGAAGAGAAAAGGGAAAGGAGAAAAGUGGAGAAUCCCCCUUCCACCUGUGAAGCCAUAGAAUGAGGUGAUGUGCCACACCAGACCCAAAGUCGGGUCUCAAGAGGUUGGAGAAGGACUGCCUGCGGCUGACUGAGUAUCCUGCCAUCACUGUGGACAGAACAGACUCAGGCAUGUCUGCUGGGCUCAGGAGACCGAGCUGAUGUAGCCAAGGACAACGUUGAACGACUUUCUGGUUCUCUCCUACCUCCAUCUCUUGAGUUCCGCCAUUACAGCUCCGCCACCCCCGGCUUAUGCAAUACUGAGGUCUGAACUCCAGGUCUGGUGCAUGCUUACACAAGCCUCUUCCAAAUGAGCUGCAUCCCCAGCUCAUGCCCCCUCCCCAGCCCCAGGUUAAGUGUUGUUACUCUUACACUUAUGCACAGUAACAAAUAGUUCAGCAGUUGAGAGUGCAUACUGUGCCUGCCGAGGCCAGAGUUCAGGUCCCAGCACCCAUCUUGGGUGGCUUACAACUGCCUAGAACUCCAGCUCCAGAGAAUCCAAUGCCCUCUUCUGGCCUCCGCGGGCACCUUCACAUGUGCACAGAAAACUCCCACACGUCACAUGGUUAAAAUUUAUUUAACCCUAGAAGUAAAUAAGCAAAGCAA